rnacentral:rRNA from 1 species
UGCGUAGGCGGCGCUAUAAGUCAGUGGUGAAAUCUCAUAGCUUAACUAUGAAACUGCCAUUGAUACUGCAGGUCUUGAGUAAGGUAGAAGUAGCUGGAAUAAGUAGUGUAGCGGUGAAAUGCAUAGAUAUUACUUAGAACACCAAUUGCGAAGGCAGGUUACUAUGUCUUAACUGACGCUGAUGGACGAAAGCGUGGGGAGCGAACAGGAUUAGAUACCCUGGUAGUCC